GCUCCCGUAGUUUAAUGGAUAAAACAGCCGCCUCCUAAGCGACCAAUAUGAGUUCGAUUCUCGUCGGGAGCACCA
rnacentral:tRNA from 1 species